rnacentral:sRNA from 1 species
AGGGUCGGACGGUAUAUUUGAUCGAUAAAUCCGCGGUCACACUGAUCUCAAUUGCGGAACAUAAGGCCGUUUUGAAGCCCAACUGUGGCCCACAACUCCGCCCUGCCUCAGCCAGACCACCAGAUCGGCCAGGUGGAUCUUAGCCGACCAGAUCUUAGCCCGAAUCUGAAGAAAACCAAGCUGGAUGAGGCCUCGACGGCGGGGUUGAUGCAAGCACAUAAACGGAUCAGGGCGUGGUGUCUAUGAUGAGCUUCCAUCUGCGUCGCAAAAAGGGACUGGAACAAACCCUGGCGGCCAAGCUUACACCAAAGGCGUACGUCAAGGAGACUCAUGCCGUGCCCGGGCUGCCGGAGCUGCUGGAUCCUGCAUUCCCAACAAGACACGUCUGGACAGAUUAUGCGCCACUACGGCAGUGCAAGGGCAUCCGCCAGUUGCAGGCUUUGUACGUGUCCCACCUGCACGCGGAUCAUCACAUUGGAUUGAUUGGACUGCUGAAGGAGCGCAGAUAGCUGGCCCCGAAGGAAACUCGCUGCUCUUACUUGCGCCGCGGCAGAUCGAGCCAUGGAUGGAGUUCUAACAAGGAUAGCUCUUGGCGAGACUCCUGACUGGAGAGGCAGUGGCACCAUUGGGCAUAACUGCCGCCACUGCCAAGUCACCAGUAGGAACUGCCAAGCCGCCAGUGCGAACAGCUGCUUAAAAUCUUGCGAGACGCUUGGCGAUGCUGUGGAUGAUCGAGUUCAGCCCAACAAUCAACCUUUGCGGAAUGAGAGGAGCAGCAGCAAGGCAAGAAGGAUGCCGAUCAGGAUUUGUACUAAAACCAGGACAGUUCGGCUAACUCGUCGCAGUCCUCGGUGGGCAUUGAUGACUAUUGGGAUGAGGCUCUGGUCGGCGACUAUGGAAGCACUCAGAAUGAUGACAGCGAUGACUUGGAUGGUCACAACAACUAGCCACCUAUCGAUGGGCAGCAAGGAAAAGAACCCGGCCGUAACGAGUUGCGUUACUAUUGGCGAUCAAGAGAUCAUAGACUGCAAAGAACAAUUCGACAAGCAGCGGCAGGCAACAUUACUUGGGCCGAGCAGGGCAGUAAAUGUAAAAGUUGUUCUGCACUAUCUUAAAAGCGUGCUCCGGCGGUCUUAAGCCUUCUGCACCAUGUUUUACAUCAUCGGUUUCGACCGGGAGCGCAGACAACUGGCUCCAAAGGAAACUCGCUGCUCAUACUUGCACCGCGGCAGAUUGAGCCAUGGAUGGAGUUCUAACACGGAUAGCUCUUGGCGAGACUCCUGACUGGAGAGGCAGUAACUUUGGGCAUAACUGCCGCCACUACCAAGUCACCAGUACGAACUGCCAAGCCGCCAGUACGAACAGCUGCUUAAAAUCUUGCGAGGCGUUUGGCGAUGCUGUGGAUGAUCGAGUUCAGCCCAACAAUCAACCGUUGCGGAAUGAGAGGAGCAGCAGCAAGGCAAGAAGGAUGCCGAUCAGGAUUUUUACUAAAACCAGGAGAGUUCGGCUAACUCGUCGCAGUCCUCGGUGGGCAUUGAUGACUAUUGGGAUGAAGCUCUGGUUGGCGACUAUGGAAGCACUCAGAAUGAUGACAGCGAUGACUUGGACGGGCACAACAACUAGCCACCUAUCGAUGGGCAGCAAGGAAAAGAACCCGGCCGCAACGAGUUGCGUUACUAUUGGCGAUCAUGAGGUCAUGGACUGCAAAGAACAAUUCGACAAGCAGCAACAUUACUUGGGCCGAGCAGGGCAGUAAAUGUAAAAGUUGUACAGCACUAUCUUUAAAGCGUGCUCCGGCGGUCUUAAGCCUUCUGCACCAUGUUUUACAUCAUCGGUUUCGACCGGGAGCGCAGACAGCUGGCCCCGAAGGAAACUCGCUGCUCUUACUUGCGCCGCGGCAGAUCGAGCCAUGGAUGGAGUUCUAACACGGAUAGCUCUUGGCGAGACUCCUGACUGCAGAGGCAGUGGCACCAUUGGGCGUAACUGCCGCCACUGCCAAGUCACCAGUAGGAACUGCGAAGCCGCCAGUACGAACAGCUGCUUAAAAUCUUGCGAGACGCUUGGCGAUGCUGUGGAUGAUCAAGUUCAGCCCAACAAUCAACAGUUGCGGAAUGAGAGGAGCAGCAACAGGACAAGAAGGAUGCCGAUCAGGAUUUCUACUAAAACCAGGACAGUUCGGCUAACUCGUCGCAGUCCUCGGUGGGCAUUGAUGACUAUUGGGAUGAAGCUCUGGUCGGCGACUAUGGAAGCACUCAGAAUGAUGACAGCGAUGACUUGGACGGGCACAACAACUAGCCACCUAUCGAUGGGCAGCAAGGAGAAGAACCCGGCCGCAACGAGUUGCGUUACUAUUGGCGAUCAUGAGGUCAUGGACUGCAAAGAACAAUUCGACAAGCAGCAACAUUACUUGGGCCGAGCAGGGCAGUAAAUGUGAAAGUUGUACAGCACUAUCUUAAAAGCGUGCUCCGGCGGUCUUAAGCCUUCUGCACCAUGUUUUACAUCAUCGGUUUCGACCGGAUCCAGUGGCCUAAAAAGUGCUAUAGAGCGAUCCUCUCUUACCCCACCAGGAGGUCACCCCCUCCGGUGGCCAUGAAUACCUUUUGCAUGACCGCGAAUACCGAAUUACCCACCAUCGUUUAACUGGGGCUUCACACUUCAGGUCCUCCGGUUUAGCUGAACGAGUGGGCGCUCGAUGGCGGCUGUCCACUCCAGGCGCCUACCGGCUGACAUCGCGAGCUCCCCACCGGCUCUUGGGACAUGACUUACAUCGCGCGAGCUGUGGCCUCUAGCCUGGACGACCUUUGGGUCCUCUCGGGAUGUGUAAGGGAUGUGCUCCUGGCUGGACUGUGGCAGGCACUGUCUGUCCUCCUGCGGGCCAAAGCCAUGAUGCCACUACUGUGUCGCUGAAUCGACAAUGUGGCGUCCCGUCCGCUGCAGCAGGGACCACUGAUCGACUUCAGAAUUGUGGGUUCACGCCCACGGUAAUCAAACGCUGGUCUUCAGCCUCGAGGCGCAGGGCUUAUGUACCAUAUCCAAGCAUUGCCGAAUCGUAUCCCAGCAGGACAAAAGCGCACCCCUUGGAAGAGCCCAAAUCUAACAAGCCGACGUCACAUUUCGACCUGGCCAUUGAAAACUAUCUCAAGGACUUUGGCUAUGGCAACCAAGGGAGGGAUACGCGGACUACCAGACUAUAGAUAGAUCUCGUUGUUAAUAGGUUUAAGGAUACACACGUCUGUACAUUUAGAUAGUAGAUAUAAAUAUUUCCAAAUUGUUAAUUUCUUUAUAGUAAGUUAACGUUAUUAUGAAUAAAACUAUUGAAAAAUUA